CCUCACAUAAGCCCCUGGCCCACUGUG
rnacentral:piRNA from 1 species